rnacentral:tRNA from 1 species
GCCCAGGUGGCGGAAUUGGUAGACGCACUAGUUUCAGGUACUAGCGCUGCGAGGCGUGGGGUUCGAGUCCUCCUGGGCACCA